rnacentral:rRNA from 1 species
AACGCGAAGAACCUUACCCAGACUUGACAUGCAGUGGACAGCUUCAGAAAUGAAGUCUUCCUUCGGGACCACUGCACAGGUGCUGCAUGGCUGUCGUCAGCUCGUGCCGUGAGGUGUUGGGUUAAGUCCCGCAACGAGCGCAACCCUUAUCAUUAUUUGCCAACAUUUAAGGUGGGAACUAUAAUGAGACUGCCUGGGUUAACCAGGAGGAAGGUGAGGAUGACGUCAAGUCCGCAUGGCCCUUAUGUCUGGGGCUACACACGUGCUACAAUGGUCGGUACAGAAGGCAGCGAAGCCGCGAGGUGAAGCAAAUCCAAAAAACCGAUCUCAGUUCAGAUUGUAGUCUGCAACUCGACUACAUGAAGACGGAAUUGCUAGUAAUGGCGAGUCAGCAACAUCGCCGUGAAUACGUUCCCGGGCCUUGUACACACCGGUAUCUC